CUCUGACAUGAAAACAAGGGAAAUGAGCAAGCAUCAAAUAAUAGACAAGAAAACUGCAAGCAUCUACUCUGAGAUUAAGACAUAAUAAAUAGUAAUCAUAACAAUAAUGACAAAAAUAACAAUAUUUAUGGUAGAAAAGACAGUUUCAAAUGGGCACACUAAUGGAGAAAAUCUUGUAGAAGGUGCUGAAUGAAUCAGCUUCCUCCAUGAGACAGCUGAGCUCCAAGAGACAAAGGGACCCAUGUUUAUUCACUACCCCAUGGCCAUCUGGCCAUUCACACUAAAUAGGCCAAAUGAUUCAAGACCAAGCAAAUCAACACCAAAAAGCUACAAGCUUAAUUUGAAAUUGAGCAACCCCACAUAAAAAUCCAGGCAGUGUGAGUCAGUGCUUGAAUUGCACAAAUGGAGGGCUUGCUCUCCCAACAGUGGAAAAUGGUCAUUUUCUUGCUCUCUCUCUCUCUCUCUCUUAACAAAAUAAGUCAACACAUAUAUGUCAAUCAAAAUAUUAAUUGAUAAUUUCCCAAACUUUAACCUGGCAUAAAAAUUUCACAUGUCGUAUAACUAAGUUAUGAACUUGACAUUCAAGAAGCCAAGUGCAUAUUGAACUAACUAGGUGUGAUAUGGGCAGCUUGGACUGGUUGGAAAAGCCACCUCCCCUUAGAUUUACGUAGGAAACCCUGUAUCUAGGAGGAAGCCAAACUUGAUAAAAUACAUGGUAAGCAGCAAGAACAAUAUAAGAGUUGUACAGCAAGCCUGUAAAAUUAGAGUGUAUUAUCUUCAACAUGAACUCUGGCAGCACAAAAGUGGUAAACCACGGACAUCCACAGUUCAAGUGGAGACCAUUAAUAUAUUUCGGAAAAUUUGUCAGGAACUCCAGGUUUGAAACUAGGAUGAGUAAUGCAUGGUUUUGGAUGAAAACACUACUUCAGGUAUUGAUUAAGCCCCCAUAAGUGAAAAUCAUAAGAAGAUCGAUAGCAAUGUAACAUGAUUUGGUGGAGUCCCAGGCUCAAAAGAGCGAGAAGGAGACUAAAUGGGAGGAUAGCAGCUUGGCUAAAUUUAGCAAGCUUUUGGGAUUUUCAGUAGAAGGCCUGGAGAGAGAAAUAUUGGACUUCUUGUCCAAAAUCAGAAAAAGACGGGAAAGGAUCCAUAGCAAAGGAUUACUGGAAAAAUCAAAAUUUGAGAGGGAGCUCAAAAGGUUGGAAUGCUCAGUCAAAUACAAGGGGAAUGACAAGAAAAAUAGUCAUCUGAAAAGUAGAGGGGGACAACUCUGUUUGUUUAAUGAAUCUUAAAAUGUUGAGCUGGAAUGUGAGGGGGGCAAAUGAUGUUAAUAAAAGAAGAAUUAUUAAGUCUGUGGUUAGAAAACAGAAGGUGGAUUUAUUCUGUAUCCAAGAGACAAAAAUACAGUUAAUGACGGAUGGGAUGGUGAAAAGCUUAGGGGUGGGGAGAUUUUUAGACUGGAGAUCUAUUGAAGCAGCUGGGGCAGCGGGAGGUGUGCUAAUUUGCUGGGACAAGAGGUCUUUGGAUUUGUUGGAGUGGGAGGAGGGUCAAUUCUCAAUGUCCUGUAAAUUCAGAACUGUGGAAAAUGGGGCAAUAUGGGUGUUCACAGGUGUCUAUGGCCCCUUUACCAAAGAGGAUAGGGAGUGCCUUUGGGAGGAAUUUGGAGCGAUAAGAGGGCUUUGGGGGGAACCCUGGUGUGUAGGGGGAGAUUUUAAUGUGAUUCUCUCUCAAGGGGAAAGAAGCAGGCAGGGGAGGAUUACACCAGCUAUGAGGAGAUUUGCUCAGGUUAUGGAUGACCUUGAGCUUGUUGAUCUUCCUCUUCAAGGUGGAUCUUUUACGUGGAGUGGGGGGUUUCAAAAUCAAGCCUGGGCCAGGCUGGACAGGUUUAUGGUUUCACCCAGCUGGCUUGAUCAGUUUAGGAAUGUGACCUAGAAGAAACUAUCUCGGCCUAUAUCGGAUCACUUUCCAAUCAUAAUUGAGGGGGGUGGUAUAAAAAGAGGUCCAUCACCAUUCAGGUUCGAGAAUAUGUGGCUGAAAGUGGAAGGGUUCAAAGACCUGUUGCGGAGUUGGUGGCAGGUGAUGUCAGUGAGUGGAAGGGCCAGCUAUAGGCUGGCUACAAAACUAAAGGUGAUUAAGCAGAAACUAAAGGUCUGGAACAGAGAGGUGUUUGGGAAUCUGGAGAGUAAUAAGAUGGCUGCGCUGCAGCAAGUGGACUAUUGGGACCAAGUGGAAGGUGAAAGGGGCCUGACAGAGGAGGAGUUGUCAAGGAAAAAAGAAGUAAAAGACGAUUACGCGAAAUGGGUUAAGCUGGAGGAGAUACACUGGAGACAGCUCUCAAUGGAGCUGUGGCUAAGAGAAGGGGAUAGAAAUACAGGGUACUUUCAUCGAAUGGCAAACGCACACCGAAAAAGGCAGACCAUGGAAAAAAUAAAAAUAAAUGGGGUAUGGCUCUCAGGGGAGCAAGAUGUGAGGAAUGGAAUAGUAGAUGCUUUUCAACGGUUGUUAACGGAAGACUCGGAGUGGAAGGCAGAUAUAGGGGGGUUGGACUUGAAUCAGAUUAGCCAACAAGAGGCAGACACCUUGGAGCUUCCCUUCACGGAAAAGGAGGUCCAUUCGGCCCUUAUGGGCAUGAAUGGGGAUAAGGCUCCUGGGCCGGAUGGUUUCACGGGGCCUUUUGGCAAUUCUGCUGGGAGUUUGUAAAGGAGGAGGUUUUGGAGAUGUUCAAGGAUUUCCAUGAGCAAAAGGCUUUUCUCAAGAGCCUUAAUACCACGUUUCUAGUCCUUAUCCCAAAAAAAGGAGGAGCGGAGGAGCUGGGGGAUUUCAGGCCGAUCAGCCUAGUGGGCGGGCUGUAUAAACUCUUGGCUAAGGUGCUGGCCAAUAGGAUUAAAAACGUGGUUGGUAAAGUGGUCUCUUCAGACCAGAACGCUUUUGUCAUGGAUAGGCAGAUUUUGGACGCGUCUCUAAUAGCGAACGAGGUGAUUGACUCAUGGAAGAAAAGAGGUGAAAAAGGUCUGAUCUGCAAGUUAGAUAUUGAAAAGGCGUAUGACAGUGUGAAUUGGCAGUUUUUGAUGAGGGUUAUGCAAAAAAUGGGUUUUGGGGUUAAGUGGAGAGAGUGGAUAUGGAGCUGCAUUUCCACUGUUAAGUUCUCAGUAUUAAUUAAUGGGGAACCAGCUGGCUUUUUCUCCAGCUCUAAAGGGCUGCGGCAAGGCGAUCCCAUUUCCCCAUACUUGUUCAUUAUGGGAAUGGAGGUGUUGAGCGCCUUUAUUCGGAGGGCUGUGGAAGGGGGCUGCAUUUCCGGGUGCAGGAUCCAAAGGGGCAGGGGGCAGGCUGUGAAUAUCUCCCACCUUCUUUUUGCUGACGAUGCUAUAGUCUUCUGUGAGGCUAGGAAAGAUGAUAUGACAUUUUUGAGCUGGAUUUUAUGUUGGUUUGAAGCCGCUUCAGGGCUGAGGAUAAAUUUGGCUAAAAGUGAGAUCAUUCCGGUAGGGGAGGUGGAGGAGAUCCUUGAGAUGGCUGUGGAGUUGGGUUGCAAGGUAGGUCAGUUGCCUUCAACUUAUCUGGGACUGCCCCUAGGUGCGCCCAAUAAGGCUGUGAGCGUGUGGGAUGGGGUGGAGGAAAGGAUGAGGUGGAAGCUGGCCCUCUGGAAGCGGCAAUACAUAUCAAAGGGCGGAAGAAUCGCACUCAUAAAGAGUACUCUGGCUAGCAUGCCGCUAUAUCAGAUGUCUCUCUUCCGUAUGCCUAGGGUAGUGGCAAGAAGACUAGAAAAGUUGCAAAGAGACUUUUUGUGGGGAGGGGGAAGCACGGAAAGAAAAGCCCACCUUGUCAAUUGGGAGAAGGUGUGCGUGGGUAAGGAGAAGGGGGGACUGGGGUUGAGGAAGUUAGUCCCUUUGAACAAAGCCCUUCUUGGAAAAUGGGUGUGGAGAUUUGCUAAUGCUAAGGAGGAGAUGUGGAAACGUGUCCUUGUGGCAAAAUAUGGGCAAGAGGAACUUGGGUGGAGGACUAAGAAGGUAAAUGGAGCUUUUGGGGUUGGAGUUUGGAAGGAGAUCAUGAAAGAAGCUGAUUGGUGUUGGGACAAAAUGAACUUUAAGGUCGGAAAAGGCACCAAAAUCAGGUUUUGGAAGGACCCUUGGUGUGGGGAGGUGGAGUUGGCUCAUAGGUUCCCUCAACUCUUCAAUGUGGCUGCCCAAAGGAGUGCCACUGUGGGGGAGUUAUGGGACUACAAUUCUGACCUAGGAAGUUGGAACUUAAGGUUUUCUAGGGGCUUCAAUGAUUGGGAGCUGAACAUGGUUGAUGAAUUGCUACAAAUCAUAAGGAGUCAAAGAAUCACCUUGGAGGAGGACUUGGCACUUUGGAAGGGGGGGAAAAAUGGGAAGUUUGAAGUGAAGGAAGCGUAUGAGCUGCUGAUCAGCCAUAGUACCCUGCUCUUUCCCAAAAAGGGCAUUUGGGUGGAGAAUGUUCCUUCCAAGCUAGUGUUUUUUGCGUGGGAAGCUACUUGGGGGAGGGUUCUCACGCUUGAUAGGCUACAAAAGAGAGGGUGGCAGCUUCCUAAUCGCUGCUAUUUAUGUGGUAUGGAUGAGGAAAACGUCAACCGUCUUCUUAUACAUUGUACAGUGGCUAGAGUGUUAUGGGGGAUAGUUCUUGGCUUAGUUGGAGCCCAAUGGGUCUUCCCAGAAACUGUAAAGGAGGUGAUUGUCAGCUGGAAGGGUUCUUUUGUGGGAAAAAAGAGGGAGAAAAUUUGGAGAUCCAUACCGUUAUUUAUUUUUUGGACGGUUUGGAAGGAGAGGAAUAGAUUAGCAUUCAGGGGGGGGGGGGGGGGGGGGGGGGGGGUUUUCUUUCAAAAAAAAAAAAAAAUUUUUUUUUUUUUAACUUUUGGGGGGGGGGAAAAAUUUUUAGGGGGGGGGGGCCCCCCCCCCCUAUAGGUUUCCCGGGGGGGGAGCCCCCCCCUUAAGGGGGGGGGGGUUUUUUUUUUUUUUUUUUUAAAAACUUGGAGGCCCCCCCCCCCCCCCAAAUCCCCCGNNNNNNNNNNNNNNNNNNNNNNNNNNNNNNNNNNNNNNNNNNNNNNNNNNNNNNNNNNNNNNNNNNNNNNNNNNNNNNNNNNNNNNNNNNNNNNNNNNNNGGGGGGGGGGGGAGUUAGCUAUACAGAAAGUUAAGAAUUCUUUUGUUUGUAAUCUAUGGGGGUGGGCAAAAUUGUAUAGUGGUGCGGAGUCUCGCUCCCUUAUAGGUUUCCUGGAGUGGAUAGCCUCCAGUUAAGGGUUGGUUGGUUUUUUGUUGUUUCUUUGGUAAGCUUGUGAGGCCCCCGUCGCCUCGUAUACUUCCUGUAUGUUUUGCGGCGUUUUGCCUUUUGCUAAUAUAUGUGUUUGCUUAUCAAAAAAAAAAAUGUAACAUGAUUUGGCAGUAAUCAUGACUCUCACAUAUAAUAAAACAAUGCUAAUUUUUUAUUUUAUUUUUUGAUAGGUAAAUUUUUGUCCCCAUUGGGACUUGAACCUGAAACCUCCCACAAACCCUUCCCAUCCCUUAACCACUUGAGUCAAGCCUCAAGGGCAAAUAAAACAAUGAUAUUAAUUUCACUCAAAAGCAACAAUUUCAUUUGAAAUUUUAUUAGAAUGUCAUAGCUUAAGGUAAAGAAAUAUCAUCCAUCUGUUGGAAUCCACUCUUAACUUCAACCAGUUUUAAAAAACAAUAUUCAAAAUUCUUUUAGUGGCUCAACAUAAAAGCAUGAUGUUCAAAACAUUGCUCCCCAUUGUGAUGAACAUUCUGUGAAGGGAUAGGGAAAAGGCUAAACAAUAUGUUUGAAGGAAAAUUAGAUUUUCAAGGGCUACUUUAAGCAGAAAGCUGUAAGAGCUCAUCUGUAAUACUGUCAAGGGCUCAAGGAAGAUGUCCAUGAGGUCAAUUUUGAUGAAAAAGCAAAGGAAGUUGUGCCAUGACAUGGGGUAAUUUAGAAAGUACUCAAAUUCGUCAAUAGGUCUACAUGCAAUGAAAUUUAGUGAUCCCACAAAACGGAAGUUAAUAAACUAAAUAUAAGCAAUAUGGCACAUGAACACAUCAGCAACAACCUGCAAUCACAUUUCACUUGUCACACAAAUCCUUCUGGAAGUAUGCCACUGGAUGUUUGAGUAUUCUUAUGAGAAUGACAAUGAACAACUUGCUUUACAACAACAUGUUUUUUAUAUAUUAUUAAAUACUAGAAAAGAACAAACUCAGUUAUCGAUCAUCUAAUCAAGCUUCCUAUUGAAUCAAAUGAACAAUGUAAAAAUAAGACCUCAUAAAAGUGUGUACUCCUCCAGCUAAUUGUUCUCUUCAUAACACAAACUAGAAAAAGCUUGCCCUCAGAAAUCUAGUAGUAUGCUCCAGUUAAACCAGGAAAGAAUUACGGUGCCUCAAACAAAAUAUGGUUUGAGCCUGUACUGAUUUGUACAUGCAGCAUUCUAAUAUAUCACUCCAGCAUUCAUGUUUUGGGCUCAAUCAAUUUGUUACAUAAAUAUAUGAAGAAAAUAAAACAACAUAAAAUUUCACAAAGGGGGAAAACAUUUCAUGACAUGGAAGACCAUCCUUUAUUAUUUACCUUCACAAUGACUACUAGAACAUCUUUAAUUAUGCACUUCCUCCUAGACUACUCUCUUUUCCCCUUUGGGAUUAGAAACAACAAAAUAAUUGUUCUCUAAAAAGGAUAAUGAAGGGCAACAAAAUGGGGGCGGGGGGGAACAAAGAAGAAUCUGCUCCACCAUAUAACCAAAACUAACUAUACAGCCCUAUGGAUGACACCAACUGCCCAACUCCUCCCAUGGCUAAACAAUCAACAACGUGAUUUGCUAAUUGCAGGCCUAACUGAAAGGGCAAUCCACUCCACUUGCAAUAUCCACUAUUUGACAAUCAUACAUCAUCCUUCCAUGGACAUCUCUCUCUUUUAGACACAUAAAAAUGGGAAACCCCCCCCC
rnacentral:lncRNA from 1 species